GCCUUCGUGGCGUACUGGUCAGCACGCUCGGCGCGUAACCGAGAGGUCCGUGGUUCGAUUCCCAGCGAAGGCG
rnacentral:tRNA from 1 species